GGAACGCUCGGUCCCCUUUGCCGCGUUCUUCUCUUUCAGCCCCUCGUCGUUCGUUCCGCGGGCAACAAACUGGAGGCAGCUUUUCUCUGUGUUCCGCGAGACAGUCCCUCUUUUCAAUUAAAAGCGUGGGUAGCUUUUGGCGCCAACUAUUUGCGCUCUCUUUGCCCGGAGAAGGUGGCUCAUUUUUAGUCUCAAAGGUGGUGUGUUUUCAAAGGUGGCUUUUUUUUUCUUCAAGAGGCAACUGGAUUUUCUGGUUUUUCUUUGAAGACGUUUUUCUUCUCAUGCAAAAAGCUUCUUUAGCGCUGACUGGAUAGUGGAGAAUGGAAGGAUUUAUAUUCCUUGCAGACAGUUGGUCAUUUGCAUCCUUUUAGAGAGUGUUUGUUUGUUUCUUUCAUUCAUUCAUUCAUUCAUUCCAUCAAGCAUGUAUCUGAUAACAGAUACAAGUGUAAGCAUAAUUUUGAAUACAUGAAAUGGAUACGAAUAAAAGGAAAUAUUAGGACAGGGAUGGUAGGCACUUAGGGUUAGGCUUAAGCACACCCCUUAAAGAGCUCUUAGGAAUGGGGUGAGGUCUACAGUAGACAGUCUAAGGUUAAAGUUUUGGGGGUUUGGGGAAGAAACCACAGAGUCAGGUAGUGCAGAGUCAGGUAGUUGUUGAGGCCACCUGGAGGUUUAUCUGUGUCCUCAGAGUAGUCACUUGAGUAGUGCAAAUGGGUAUGGAGCCUUCUUGGAACUGUUGAAAGGAAAGGUGUUGUAGACUGGAGGUAGAUGAUGUCGUAUCCAGUCCAACCCCCACCAUCUAGUCAGAGCUGAAGAAGCUUCUUGGACAACAAUCGAAAUGUUUUCAAAGAAAAAAGAGAAAGUCCAGUUGCCUCUUGAAAAAGCACCUUUGGUACAACCGUGACUUGGAUGACUGAGCACACGUGGAUCAUUUUAACUGUACUGGCAUCAACGUGAGAUUUCCUACAGCCUGAAGAAAAGAAAACCUGCCAGAUGAACUUCUUUGGGCUUCAGACUGUUUCUUCAGCUAUCAGGAGCAACAUCCUUCGCAGUAAGAACAUUUCAGCAGUGGAACUAAUUAUCAACUGAGCUGGGUCCCAUUCAUUGAACUUGUUCAAACUGAAGCUGGACAGUCGUCUGGGAUGGGCUGAGCAAGGAGUUAAGUUGAUAGCCUUAAAAUGGCAGGUUUUAGCUCUGAUUCUAUAAUUAAUGGAUUUUCAGGAUGUGCCCAACCAGAUGCUGCCAAUACAUCCUCAAGUUGUACAUAAUGACAUAUGGUAAUCUGUAGUAAAUUCCAAAUCAAACUUCCUACUGGAAUUUCUUUGAUGAAGUUUGGCAGCUUUUAAAUCUGGUAGUAAUUGAAAUUUAAAUGCUUCCGCUCUAGUUUCAAUAGACCUUUGUUUGACUUGCUUAUGAGCUCUGACAAAACAAUACUGUUUACACUUCGCAGGAAAUGUGCAAAGUUGCGUGAGAACCUUCAAGCCUGAUUGAGUACGACAACGGAAGGGAGCACUGCAUGGAUGGGAUGAAUAUCAUUGAUUCACCUGAUUGCCAUUCUCAGUGACUUGCAACACCUAGUCCUGUUAGAGGAUGGGUCAUUUUAAACCUGUUUAAAGAUACAGGAGCUGCUGCUGUAUUUCAUCCGCAUCAGCUAACGGGGCCACCUGGAUCUGUUGAAUGAGUUAUUGCAAAGUUGUCUGCUUAUAUAUCUGUUCCUGGAGGAAGAGAAGUUAUUUUUGCCUUUGUAAUAAACACAUGACAAUUCAAUGCC